UACGUAGGGUGCAAGCGUUGUCCGGAAUUAUUGGGCGUAAAGAGCUCGUAGGCGGCUUGUCGCGUCGACUGUGAAAACCUGCAGCUUAACUGUGGGCUUGCGGUCGAUACGGGCAUCACUGGAGUUCGGCAGGGGAGACUGGAAUUCCUGGUGUAGCGGUGAAAUGCGCAGAUAUCAGGAGGAACACCGGUGGCGAAGGCGGGUCUCUGGGCCGAUACUGACGCUGAGGAGCGAAAGCAUGGGGAGCGAACAGG
rnacentral:rRNA from 1 species